rnacentral:rRNA from 1 species
CUUGCCGCCGGCGACCGGCGCACGGGUGAGUAACACGUAUGCAACCUGGCCGUGACAGAUGGAUAACCGGGAGAAAUCCCGCCUAAUACAACAUAAUGCCGGGAGGGGACAUCCCCUGCCGGCCAAAGGGGGCGACCCCGGUCACGGAUGGGCACGCGGCGCAUUAGGUAGUUGGUGGGGCAACGGCCCACCAAGCCGACGAUGCGUAGGGGUUCUGAGAGGAAGGUCCCCCACAUUGGAACUGAGACACGGUCCAAACUCCUACGGGAGGCAGCAG